AUGGUUGACCUUAUUUUUUGUAUUUUAGUCAUAUUCAUUGUGAUUGUGGUUCCUUGUACCAUUCUCAUGUCCGAAUAUGAAUAAUAGUGAAAGGAAAAGUUCAUACAUGAUAUAAAAGCAAGAUUGACCAUUGUGCUUUCUUCCCAUUCUUGUAUUUCAAUUUGAUUUGAAUAAUUGCAUUGGACACUACAAUUAGGCGCAAUUGUUGAUUUCCUUGUUUAUUUUAUUUUUUUACUUUAUCAUCCGUUUUUUUAUUGCAUUGCUGGAGGAGGAACAGUUGACCAUUGUUGAUGCAGUAGCGUUCGAUUAUUCUUGUUCCUUUUGCAUAUUUUGCAAUUUCGUCACCUGCAAUUUUUGGUUAUGAAUCUGUAUUAGCAUUUAACCACUAUUGCUUUCAAUAACAUAUCUUAUUAUUGUUUUAUUAUACACUUGUCUUAGGUUAAAGAGAUUACCUUCAGUAUCACUGUGGAUUUCCAAGAAUUUGCAUCUAAUUGUUUUGGAAAGGACAUCAUCGAUGUGUAUAUUUUCUGGAACUACUUAUAGAAGAACUUUUAGAAUUAUGGGGUUAUGAUGCUGGACUUCGUAGCCUUAGAGAGAUCGUUAAUUGGAAAUUAGGGGUCUGACUGUAUAUGCUUUUCUCUACUGAAAAAUGGGUUCCACUUAAAGUUAGAUUUCCGACAUUCCAUAUCUAUCUUGACAAUCGCUUAUUACCUGUUUGACAAAACUACUCUGAGAGUUUUCUCUCAGAUUUGGUUAAUUCGAUAUUGAUGAACUCAAUUUAUGUUUAUGCUUCAGAUGGAGUUUUGAUUCUUAAUGAGGUUGCUUGAAAGAGGGUCAGACGAUGAACUGGAGAAUUUUUUGAGAACAAUGAUGGGUCACAUAAAAUACCUGGAGACAGUUUGGAAAAUGUCUAGUCUUUCGUGGAUGAUUACCCAAUUGUAUCCAUUGAAGACCCAUUUGAUCAGGAUGACUGGGAACACCAUGCUAAGAUGACCUGUGAGGUCGUACAACAAGUGCAGAUCGUCGGGGAUGAUCUCCUUGUUACUAAUCCCACUGUCUUUUGUUUUUCUGCGAGAUCAACCAAAUUGGUACUGUGACUGAGAGCAUCGAAGCGGCGAGAGUGUCUAAGCACGCUGGAUGGGGUGUUAUGGCUAGCCACCGAAGUACAUACUGGUAACUGAUAAAUGAUAAAGUUCUCAAAACUGCUGGAGUAAAGAUCAAUGUUCGAGCGGAAUGAAGUUCUAUCAUCAAAUUCAUACAACUGGACUCAUGCUUUAAGUUGGUGACACUAAGAUUGGUUAAUUUCCUUCGUAUUUGCUUAUUAUAAUUUUGUAUGGUCUCACAGAUAAUUGCUUAAUUUUAUGAAGUAUUCUCUUAUUUAGGGGAUCAAUACCCAGCUGAAGUGAAUGUUGUCCGCACAUCCAGAACAAUGUUAUACUUGAUCAUCUCAAGUUGAUGUCGAACUUCCAAGGUCCCUUAGCUCUUGUGACCCGGCUCAAUAAUUCCUUGAGCUCAAGCAAUUUUUCUCAAGGUUUAAACUUGCCGCAGAGCUAUCCUAGUCAUAUACUUCACCCUUGAAUGUGGAUAUAUGGUUAUAAUGUGGUAUUUUAGCAGGCAUCUAAUUAGGAUGGAUCUUAUUUAAAUGAGGAGUUGACUACCUAUCUAGCUAGCGCUACUCGUUCUAAUCUGCAUACGACAAAUGGGUAUUCUUAAUUUGUCUUCCUGUUUGCAUACAAUUCUUGUGAGUUCAAAUUUAUUUGUGAACAAUAAAGUUCAAAUUAAUUGUCUUGGUUGCACUUGCUUUAUAGGAAAUAGACAGGGACUUUUGUUGUUGUUUCUAUCUUCAAUGUGAUUCAGUAUAGGAAAUAUACUCACAAGGAAUUUGCUGAAAGUAUUGAAAAUCUCCUUGGAGCCGGAAGACGAAGUAGAAGGUUUUCUUGGAGAACAUUAAUAGAAAUGAAUAAAAAUGUUCUAGAUUUUUUUUUUUUUUGCUAGAAUCAUUUAUGCUUGUGUUUCAAUAUUUUCUAGUAAUUUCGACAUCCGCAUUCCAAUGGUUUCCGACUCCUUUAAUUUUUCUUUUGUGGCUCAAAAGGUUUGUUGUUACUAUACUAGGGAACGAAAA